rnacentral:rRNA from 1 species
UACGUAGUGUGCAAGCGUUAAUCGGAAUUACUGGGCGUAAAGCGUGCGCAGGCGGUGAUGUAAUACAGUUGUGAAAUCCCCGGGCUCAACCUGGGAACUGCAUCUGUGACUGCAUUGCUGGAGUGCGGCAGAGGGGGAUGGAGUUCCGCGUGUAGCAGUGAAAUGCGUAGAUAUGCGGAGGAACACCGAUGGCGAGGGCAGCCCCCUGGGCCGACACUGACGCUCAGGCACGAAAGCGUGGGGAGCAGACAGG